rnacentral:rRNA from 1 species
CGGGCAUGACUGGAGUUCGGCAGGGGAGACUGGAAUUCCUGGUGUAGCGGUGAAAUGCGCAGAUAUCAGGAGGAACACCGGUGGCGAAGGCGGGUCUCUGGGCCGAUACUGACGCUGAGGAGCGAAAGCGUGGGGAGCGAACAGGAUUAGAUACCCUGGUAGUCCACGCCGUAAACGGUGGGCGCUAGGUGUGGGGGCCAUUCCACGGUCUCUGUGCCGCAGCUAACGCAUUAAGCGCCCCGCCUGGGGAGUACGGCCGCAAGGCUAAAACUCAAAGGAAUCGACGGGGGCCCGCACAAGCGGCGGAGCAUGUGGAUUAAUUCGAUGCAACGCGAAGAACCUUACCUGGGUUUGACAUGCACCAGACGCGUCUAGAGAUAGGCGUUCCCUUGUGGUUGGUGUGCAGGUGGUGCAUGGCUGUCGUCAGCUCGUGUCGUGAGAUGUUGGGUUAAGUCCCGCAACGAGCGCAACCCUCGUUCCAUGUUGCCAGCGCGUUAUGGCGGGGACUCAUGGGAGACUGCCGGGGUCAACUCGGAGGAAGGUGGGGAUGACGUCAAGUCAUCAUGCCCCUUAUGUCCAGGGCUUCACACAUGCUACAAUGGCUCAUACAGAGGGCUGCGAGACCGUGAGGUGGAGCGAAUCCCUUAAAGUGGGUCUCAGUUCGGAUCGGGGUCUGCAACUCGACCCCGUGAAGUUGGAGUCGCUAGUAAUCGCAGAUCAGCAACGCUGCGGUGAAUACGUUCCCGGGCCUUGUACACACCGCCC